rnacentral:rRNA from 1 species
UACAGGGGGGGCAAGCGUUGUUCGGAAUUACUGGGCGUAAAGGGCUCGUAGGCGGCCAACUAAGUCACACGUGAAAUCCCCAGGCUUAACCUGGGAACUGCGUGUGAUACUGGAUGGCUUGAAUCCGGGAGAGGGAUGCGGAAUUCCAGGUGUAGCGGUGAAAUGCGUAGAUAUCUGGAGGAACACCGGUGGCGAAGGCGGCAUCCUGGACCGGUAUUGACGCUGAUGAGCGAAAGCCCAGGGGAGCAAAACGGGG